GGCGACGAUCCUUAGCUGGUCUGAGUAGGAUGAUCAGCCCACACUGGAACUGAGACACGGUCCAGACUCCUACGGGAGGCAGCAGUGGGGAAUAUUGCGCAAUGGGGGGAACCCUGACGCAGCCAUGCCGCGUGUGUGAAGAAGGCCUUAGGGUUGUAAAAGCACUUUCAAUUGGGAAGAAAGCUUUAACGGUUAAUACGCGUUGAGCCCUGACAUUACCUUUAGAAGAAGCACCGGCUAACUCCGUGCCAGCAGCCGCGGUAA
rnacentral:rRNA from 1 species